rnacentral:rRNA from 1 species
GACGAACGCUGGCGGCGUGCCUAAUACAUGCAAGUUGAGCGAUGAAGAUUGGUGCUUGCACCAAUUUGAAGAGCAGCGAACGGGUGAGUAACGCGUGGGGAAUCUGCCUUUGAGCGGGGGACAACAUUUGGAAACGAAUGCUAAUACCGCAUAACAACUUUAAACAUAAGUUUUAAGUUUGAAAGAUGCAAUUGCAUCACUCAAAGAUGAUCCCGCGUUGUAUUAGCUAGUUGGUGAGGUAAAGGCUCACCAAGGCGAUGAUACAUAGCCGACCUGAGAGGGUUGUCGGCCACAUUGGGACUGAGACAAGGCCCAAACCCCUACGGGAGGCAGCAGUAGGGAAUCUUCGGCAAUGGACGAAAGUCUGACCGAGCAACGCCGCGGGAGGGAAGAAGGUUUUCGGAUCGGAAAACUCUGUUGGUAGAGAAGAACGUUGGUGAGAGUGGAAAGCUCAUCAAGUGACGGUAACUACCCAGAAAGGGACGGCUAACUACGUG